GGUCGUGGCUCAACUGGUAGAGUGCUCGCCUGACACACGUGAAGUACUGGGUUCGAUUCUCAGCACCA
rnacentral:tRNA from 1 species